rnacentral:ncRNA from 1 species
GAAAACACGUUGAAGAGAAGAGUAGGCUGGGAAAGAAAUGCCAGAGAGAGAAGCCACGGGCUGAAAGCUUCUUAUUUUGGAACCUUCUGAAAACUACCUCUGAGUGGCUGCAAAACAGUCCGGUGAUUCCGUUAUCGUCAUAAUUAAGAGGUUCUGGCAUAAAAGUCUUUGGUGAAUAAUAUAGAGACUGUGAAGUGUCAGUUCAAACAGGGUGGAACCGCGAGAUAACUCGUCCCUUAC